UUGAAUAUUCUUGAUGGGUUGUAGCUGGCUCUUUGGAGCAUGUGCACGCCUGUCUUGACUUUAUUCAUCCACCUGUGCACCUUUUGUAGUCUUGGGGGUUGAGAGCAGUCAAUGAUCGAAUGGCUUAUAGCCUUUUCGGAUGUGAGGAAUGCUGAGUGCGAAAGCAUACAGCUCUUCUCAGAAUGACUUGUAAACCUCUCCCUCGAGUACUAUGUAUUCAUAUACCACAUAGUAUGUUGUAGAAUGUGAUCAAUGGGCCUCUGUGCCUAUAAUAAUCAUAUA
rnacentral:misc_RNA from 1 species